AGCGAACGCUGGCGGCGUGCUUAACACAUGCAAGUCGAGCGAGAAAGGGGGCCUCGGCCCCUGAGUACAGCGGCGAACGGGUGAGUAAUACAUGAGCAAUCUAUCCUUGAGGCGGGAAUAACCCAGCGAAAAGUUGGGCUAAUACCGGAUGAGACCACAGGAGGAAACUCCAAGGGUCAAAAGGCAGCUUUUCUUUUGGGAGCGGCCCUUCGAAGAGGAGCUCAUGUCCUAUCAGCUAGUUGGUAGGGUAACGGCCUACCAAGGCGAAGACGGUAGCUGGUCUUAGAGGAUGAUCAGCCACACGGGGACUGAGACACGGCCCCGACUCCUACGGGAGGCAGCAGUGGGGAAUAUUGGGCAAUGGGCGAAAGCCUGACCCAGCGACGCCGCGUGGGUGA
rnacentral:rRNA from 1 species